CUUUUUUCUUACACAUCUUGGAGGCCUGUGGGACUCUGAAGCACUGACCUGGCGGGGCCUCUUUAAAUUUGGACUUCAACAGGUAUGAUGGAUCACGUUCUAUGAAGGUGGAAAUUGUUGACGUACAUGAUUCAUAUACAAAUCUAAUUAUAGUGUCAAAUGAUGUGAUGUUUCUUGCAGAUAUUUUUUUGUUUCAAGAUGCGUCAAUUAUUUUCCAUGAUUGCCUAAUUAAUACAUCAGACUGAGUCCGUGACACGUUACAUUCUUUCUGCAUUUCUUUCUUUCCAGUAACUGUACACACUCUGUUGACACAACAGCUGACAGUCUGCUGGCAGGGCUACUCGGCGUGUUGAAACUUGUCUCAUGAACAACAGUGGCUGGUGUGCCGGUGGUGCUGCUGCAGAAAAAGGACCCUCUGCUGACAGGGGAACAUGCACGGAAAUCAAGAGGCUUUUAGGAAACAGCAGGGCAUCCCUGUGGGAGCAUGUAAGCACCUUCGAGGGAGCACCGAGGUGGUUGUUGUCGACAGUAAGAACUCUAGAGAUGGGAGAAGCCUCUGUCGCUAGUCAAUUACAUUUAUUACAGAC